AAAGGAUUAAGUUAACAGACUAGUUCACUUCAAAUGAAAAAGUAGAGCGAUAAUGCUUUAUCCUUUGC